rnacentral:lncRNA from 1 species
CCCUUUGCAAAAUUGCAUAAAUGAGGGGGGGCAACAGUGUAUAAACAUAUAUCAUGAUAAAAACAUACUAAGUAUUAUUAAUCGGCUAGCAAAGAGAAGUUAAACAUACGACAUGAACUGAAUUAACUAGUGCGCACGACUAGUUAAAAGAAACAAACUCUCUUUGACAAUAAGUUUCUAAUUAAAUCAUGGCUGCGUCUGGGCAGCGUUAUUGUGAGAGUGAAAGUGGACGUGCUGCUACUCCCCUCAUUCCCAACAUGUAUCAAGUACCUGCAUUGAGUAAUGCAAGAGUGAGAUGACACAUCUCAGCAAGUAAAAUAAUAUCAAAUUGUUUAACCACAUAAGAACAUUGUUUUACCACCACUUGAUUCCACAACUUUCUUAUUACGACGGUGCAACACGUAUACAACGUACAACACACCUAGUCACCACACCUCGCAGGUAGAAACCACAAUAGUAACAUAGUAAUGUCACACUUCAUAUAUACCUCAUGAGUGCAAAUGUCUGCAAAUGCAAGGAUGACUUCUACCUUCAUACCUCUAAGGAUAUGAAGCCGCAUCAUACCCCUCCUCGGGCAACGUACAAUUCUAAAAAUGUACUAGUACGGUCGGACCAUAAGAUCACGACAUAACUUCAAAAUGCAAGAUGGAUGAUGCGAUGUGCAUGUCAUGCCUACAACACUUCAUAUAACGUGAUUCAAAAAAGAUACUUCAACUUCAUCCAAGAUGGGAAUCAACCACAUAUAUCAUAACCAAAUUAUGAUCAUCCACAAUAUUAGACAAUUGAGAAUUAAUACUUCCAAACAAAUAAACUUCAUCAUAGAAUUCAAUGAUUAACAUAAUUAAAACUUAUGCAUACUCAAUGACAGGGAAUAGGAUGCAAAGCAAACGGUAGCAACCACCACUAUAUUUACUUGCCUUUACCGGAAGUUCGGGCAAAUCCCUAAGUACGAUCCGGAAGUCCAACACCUGUUUUUUGACACACAACUUAGUGCACCAAUUUCACAUAAUCAGGCUCAUAAACGACGCCGCACCUAUGCACAAACUCAAACCCCGCCGCGGGUUACAUCUCUCCCCACACCCACCAAACUGCAGCGGCGCUGCUUAAUAAUUUCAUAACUUUAAAAUUAUGACAGCAGUGGUAACAAACAAAAACUCUAGAGUCAUCUACAUAAAAUUCCCCACAAGUUUUGUAUACAAUUUAUAAUUAAAUUCCAACAUCUAAUUAGCCCAAAAUAGUCCACAAGAUGAACCCUGUAAUCUGUUUUUUUGUCUUUUGGACAGCGACAUACCCGGAUUCAAACAGCGAUAUCUUUUAAAAUAUAAUUCCAAAUCAAGUGCAUAAGUACUCAUUGGAAAGAUAAGACAAAGCCCUACAUGAUUAUAAUACUGGUUAACACUAAUUACCCACGAAAAAUUCCCAGAAACUGCUAAUACUACUGCUGUUCACCCACCUGAAAAAUCUGUUUCUUUUGGACAGCAACAUAACCGGAUUCAAACAACGAUAUCUGCUAAAUUAUAACUCCGAAUCGAGCGCAUAAGUACUCGUUGGAAAGGUAUGACAAAGCUCUACAUGAUUCUCCCACUGAUCCCCACUAAUUGCCCACGAAAAAUUCCCAGAAACUGCUAAUACUACUGUUGUUCACCCACCUGAAAAAUCUGUUUCUUUUGGACAGCAACAUAACCGGAUUCAAACAAAGAUAUCUUCUAAAUUAUAACUCCGAAUCGAGCGCAUAAGUACUCGUUGGAAAGGUAUGACAAAGCUCUACAUGAUUCUCCCACUGAUCCCCACUAAUUGCCCACGAAAAAUUCCCAGAAAUCCCUAGAACUACUGCUGUUCGCCCUUCCACAAAAAUUCUGGACAGCACCUCUACCGAUUCGCAUAGAUAAACAUAUAAUCAAUUGAAUUUUAGCGCAAAAACAUAGAUAACUUCAAGAUCACCUUGAGUUCCACCUUUUUCCUCCUUCCUUCCUCCCACCAAUUCUCCAAUUGAAACUUGCACCCACACGAAGAAGAUCCGACGAGGAAGAACGACACUUGGAGAAGAGGAGAUGGGGGUGGCGGCUAGGGUUGAGGAGAUGGCUGCUGCAAAAAACUUGAGAAUGGAGAGGGGGCGGCUGCAGCACUUGGGGAAGAGAGAAGAGGGAAGAGGGGGGAGGGUGACGGCCAAAGGAGGGAAG